rnacentral:rRNA from 1 species
AUUGAACGCUGGCGGCAGGCCUAACACAUGCAAGUCGAGCGGAGCGGCAGACGGGGGAGUAAUGCCUAGGAAUCUGCCUGGUAGUGAGGGAUAACGUCCGGAAACGGGCGCUAAUACCGCAUACUAUCAGAUGAGCCUAGGUCUGAUUAGCUAGUGUGUGGGGUAAAGGCCUACCAAGGCGACGAUGCGUAACUGGUCUGAGAGGAUGAUCAGUAACACUGGACGUGAGACACGGUCCAGACUCCUACGGGAGGCAGCAGUGGGGAAGAGUGGACAAUGGGCGAAAGCCUGAUCCAGCCAUGCCGCGUGUGUGAAGAAGGUCUUCGGAUUGUAAAGCACUUUAAGUUGGGAGGCGUUACCAACAGAAUAAGCACCGGCUAACUUCGUGCCAGCAGCCGCGGUAAUAC